rnacentral:lncRNA from 1 species
AUGUUGCCACAACGGGCGGACUCAUAGUAGUAUCUGUAAAGUUCAAGAGCAACAAAUCAGAAACCAAUAGCACGAGCAAAGGUAAGACAUCAAAAACUGAAUUACCUUCUGCUUCGAUGAUUGGGGGGUCGACACCUUGGGAAGAAGGUGGCUCAUCCACGGUUUGUGAUGAAGACUCUGGGACUGAAGAUGUAUCUUUAAGCAUGGUCCCAUCACCAACCAAUUUGGAUGAAGUAGCCUCAGCAGAGGAUGAUGGAGCAGGAGUUGUCGAUGCCAAAGCCUUUGAAGGGGAGGCUGAACUUUUCUGAAAAGUCCAAAAGAUCAUCAGUACACAGAACAGUAUCAAAUGUGGAAAAGCAUACUUGUAAAUAGACCGAUUUAAUUACCUUCCUCCUGACGAUAAGAGGGGCAUCAUCAUCAUCAUCAUCAACAUCAUCCUCCAGAAUGGGAGAUGCUGAGGCUGGCCGUUUGCGGCUUGAAGCACUCUUGGCCGUAGUAGGCCUGGCGGGGAGAGAAGAAGAUGGACGAGCAGGUUGUUUGGUACGACGAGAAGGAGAGGGGCUUCGAAUAGACAAAGGAGUGACCAAAACAGGAGGAGGAGAAGAAAUACUCGGUUGGUCUAAUGAAUGAAAGGCACGAUUGGC